UCCAUGGGAACCCCGACCCACCGGUAAACCGGACAGUUCUGUGAGGGGUUAGAAUGUUUCUCGCUUAGAAGCUAGGAGCUAGACUACCGGAUGUGCAGACCAUUGCGGGAGAAAGUGAUGAACUUGCCUUGUCUCUCGGGAACAUCGCAGUCAAAUUCCCCUGGGUAUCCUGGCGUCCGCGCUCUCCCGGGGCCUCCGCGUCUCCAGGAGCCUGGCAAGAACAGUGUUUUGCUCUGGCCUAUAACGUGCGGCUCCUCUGAGUCAGUUUCUAAAUCUUGUCGUCCUCAGCCGAGCGCCUGCGCGCCGCACACAGAUAUGGAAUGGCUCAGGACUCCAGGGGACUACAAGUGCUCUCCUUCCUCAAGAAAUAAGCCAAGGAGAGCUCUUAUCCUCCUGAUGGCCCUGCUGGUGCUCUAUGUUUGCUCCUACUCCCCUGGCUGAAGGAUGAACUAGAGUGGAGAAGUUCAAAGCCAAACAGACCUUGGGAGCCAGUAAAGCAAUCCAGAGGCAAGAAAGACUGGCAAAUGUAACAGCUUCAAGGAGGACCAAGGUUCUUCCUGCCCCUGGGCUCUGGAGAAGAGAGAUUGCGGGUCUCCCAGAGGGAAGCCUCCUGCAACCCAGUGUAAUAAGGUAGGUGAGAACAUGGGUGUGGGGACUUUGGAGAAGCUGCGCGGAC